UGGCGGACGGGUGAGUAAUGUCUGGGAAACUGCCCGAUGGAGGGGGAUAACUACUGGAAACGGUAGCUAAUACCGCAUAACGUCGCAAGACCAAAGAGGGGACCUUCGGGCCUCUUGCCAUCGGAUGUGCCCAGAUGGGAUUAGCUAGUAGGUGGGGUAACGGCUCACCUAGGCGACGAUCCCUAGCUGGUCUGAGAGGAUGACCAGCCACACUGGAACUGGGACACGGUCCAG
rnacentral:rRNA from 1 species